rnacentral:rRNA from 1 species
UACAGGGGGGGCAAGCGUUGUUCGGAAUUACUGGGCGUAAAGGGUUCGUAGGUGGCCAACUAAGUCAGACGUGAAAUCCCUCAGCUUAACUGGGGAACUGCGUCUGAGACUGGAUGGCUUGAGUGCAGGAGAGGAACGCGGAAUUCCAGGUGUAGCGGUGAAAUGCGUAGAUAUCUGGAGGAACACCGGUGGCGAAGGCGGCAUCCUGGACCAACACUGACGCUGAGGAGCGAAAGCCAGGGGAGCAAACGGG